CACAACACUGCUGAUUGCCGCUG
rnacentral:siRNA from 1 species